rnacentral:SRP_RNA from 14 species
UCUGGGGGCCGAAGAGGGACGCGGUCUUGGUCGCGUCCCCCAAGGGAAACCGCCCCUUGGACGGGUCCGGCCCGGGAGGAAGCAGCCU